GGAGCCGUGGUGUAGUCGGUUAACAUGCCAGCCUGUCACGCUGGAGAUCGUGGGUUCGAGUCCCAUCGGCUCCGCCA
rnacentral:tRNA from 1 species